CCACACCAGCAUUCUCUGCCCACAUUGCGACACUGUUGGAGCUCUACAAAAUACCACAGAGAACUCAAUAUGGAACACUUUUUCUCUUUUGAUUCAGACAACCUAUGGAGAUUUUGAUCCUGUACUGAAAGGAACUGAAUGUGGAAAUUUUUGGAGUGUCCAUUCAAUGCCUCCCUGGAGUCUCUGCCAAAGGAAACAUUAGACACGACUCUG